AUUGAACGCUGGCGGCAUGCCUUACACAUGCAAGUCGAACGGCAGCACGGGUGCUUGCACCUGGCGGCGAGUGGCGAACGGGUGAGUAAUACAUCGGAACGUACCUUAUCGUGGGGGAUAACGCAGCGAAAGCUGUGCUAAUACCGCAUACGCCCUGAGGGGGAAAGCGGGGGAUCGCAAGACCUCGCGCGAUUAGAGCGGCCGAUGCCUGAUUAGCUUGUUGGUGGGGUAAAAGCCCACCAAGGCGACGAUCAGUAGCUGGUCUGAGAGGACGAUCAGCCACACUGGGACUGAGACACGGCCCAGACUCCUACGGGAGGCAGCAGUGGGGAAUUUUGGACAAUGGGGGCAACCCUGAUCCAGCAAUGCCGCGUGAGCGAAGAAGGCCUUCGGGUUGUAAAGCUCUUUUGUCAGGGAAGAAACACCGGCUCUAACACAGUCCGGGAAUGACGGUACCUGAAGAAUAAGCACCGGCUAACUACGUGCCAGCCGCCGCCGUAA
rnacentral:rRNA from 1 species